UCUACAAAUUAAACAGAAUGCCUUACUAAUA
rnacentral:piRNA from 1 species